GUAGAGACGGGGUUUUCACCAUGUUGCCCAGGCUGGUCUCGAACUCUUGACUCAUGAUCUGCCCGCCUUGCCCUCCCAAAGUGCUGGGAUUACAGACAUGAGCCACUGCUCCAGGCUGAGCUCGCAUCUUUUAUCAACUGGCCUAUGAGUCUGCACUGAGUCUUGAGAGGGAGGUAAAAUUAAAGAGCCAUCAAACGUGCUUUUUAACAAGCUUACUGUGUCUAAAAGAGGAGGAGGAGGAACAGCUGGAUGAAGUGGGUGACGAGCACUCUUAGAAGUUACCAUAGAAGUGAGUACAUACAGUGUGAGCUGUAGAUGUGUUUGCUGCAGAGGACCAUGUGAGGUUCGGAGGUGGGGCGUGUGGUGACGGGGGGGUAGGUCUGCAGAACCUAACAGAAGGGGAAGCUGUAAGGUGCAGGGGCAGAUGGCACCAGCAUUAACCCUGUCCAUUCCUCUUGACUCUACAGCAGUGGACAACAGGCCUUUUAUUGCUGAUUUACCAUCAGUAAGCAGUCUUUGAAGCACACUUUCCCUGCCCUAAAAAAAAAAUAUUUUUGUACCAUAUAUAUAAAUACACACAUACACAGACACACACACACACACACACAAAUACAAAUAUACUAUGUAACAUUAUAGAACAUGCUUUUUAAAAGAUGAGUUGGGGAGAGAGAAGGGAAAAAGAAAAAAAGAUGAGUUAAGAAUAAACAAUUUGGAUCUAGAUUUUACUUUCUAGAUGAUUGACUUGAAGGUGGUAGAGUAGAGUAAUGCUUGUCUGGUCACAGACAUUUGGAUGAAGGGCUUUUAAGUUCUUUGACAAAGGUUUCAGCCCAUUAGAGUGGUUUUCACUAAUAGUGUUCUAGAAAGAAAAGAUUGUCCAUAGUUCUGUGUAGUUUGACUGCUAAGAUGAUCAGCUAUCCGGGAACAUGAAGUAGCUUCUUCUUCUUUUGCAGGACCCCUGGGAGUCUGUGCUUGGGGAGGGGAGAAGCUUAUUAGGCUCUUGGAUUGUGUGGAAGAAGAAGUUGUGCCAGGCUACAGAAUCCUGUGUUUGCACUGAGAAAAUAGGAUGGUACCUGACCUCUGCAUGGCUGUGAGAUAGCUUUAGAUAAUUUCUUUUGUCUUCAAUGAAUACAAACAAUAUCUUAAAAUUUUUGAGACCAAAAAGUCUUAAAGGGAUCCCUGAGUUAUUUUCUUUUAAAGGCACAGGUGACAAUUAGUAACUUAACGUAGGGUUUUUCUUCCUAGUCUUAUUUCCAUUGAGUUCAAGUUACACUGUUAGCCUGGAGUGCUUGUUUUUAGGGGUAUUUAUCUCUUAGUUUUAAAGAGGAGUUGUUUGGAGUACUGGCCAUAGAACAGAUUCUUCUGACAGUUCUCUAAGUGUUACUGCUCUGAGCUGUGAGAAGGCUUCUGAGCUUUUCCCUUAAUGGGAAAUAAAGAUACUGAGUUGAAAGAAAACAAGUUAGGCGACUUAACCAUCAUAGUGUGGCCAAGAAAUGAUCCUGGAGAAGAUAUGCCCCAUGGCAUAACAAAAUCAAUAUUCCUCCCUCAUAAUCUUUUCUCCCCUAAAACAUUUUAUACUCUUAACCUGCAGCUCAGUUCUAGGCC